AUUGAACGCUGGCGGCAUGCCUUACACAUGCAAGUCGAACGGCAGCACGGGUGCUUGCACCUGGUGGCGAGUGGCGAACGGGUGAGUAAUACAUCGGAACGUACCUUAUCGUGGGGGAUAACGCAGCGAAAGCUGUGCUAAUACCGCAUACGCCCUGAGGGGGAAAGCGGGGGAUCGCGAGACCUCGCGCGAUUAGAGCGGCCGAUGCCUGAUUAGCUUGUUGGUGGGGUAAAAGCCCACCAAGGCGACGAUCAGUAGCUGGUCUGAGAGGACGAUCAGCCACACGGGGACUGAGACACGGCCCAGACGCCUACGGGAGGCAGCAGUGGGGAAUUUUGGACAAUGGGGGCAACCCUGAUCCAGCAAUGCCGCGUGAGUGAAGAAGGCCUUCGGGUUGUAAAGCUCUUUUGUCAGGGAAGAAACACCGGCUCUAACACAGUCCGGGAAUGACGGUACCUGAAGAAUAAGCACCGGCUAACUACGUGCCAGCCGCCGCCGUAA
rnacentral:rRNA from 1 species